rnacentral:rRNA from 1 species
CACGUAGGGGGCGAGCGUUGUCCGGAAUCAUUGGGCGUAAAGAGCUCGUAGGCGGCUUGUCGCGUCAACUGUGAAAACCCGUGGCUCAACCAUGUGGUCUGCAGUCGAUACGGGCAGGCUAGAAUUCGGUAGGGGAGACUGGAAUUCCUGGUGUAGCGGUGAAAUGCGCAGAUAUCAGGAGGAACACCGGUGGCGAAGGCGGGUCUCUGGGCCGAUAUUGACGCUGAGGAGCGAAAGCGUGGGGAGCGAACAGG